UCCAGGGUAGCCUAGUGGACAUAGCUUCUGACCGGAACACUGUGGGUUCGAUUCCCAUCCCUGGAU